GUACUGAGACACGGACCAGACUCCUACGGGAGGCAGCAGUGAGGAAUAUUGGACAAUGGGAGCAAUCCUGAUCCAGCCAUGCCGCGUGCAGGAAGACUGCCCUAUGGGUUGUAAACUGCUUUUAUACAGGAAGAAAAAGGUGUACGUGUACACUGUUGACGGUACUGUAAGAAUAAGGAUCGGCUAACUCCGUGCCAGCAGCCGCGGUAAUACGGAGGAUCCAAGCGUUAUCCGGAAUCAUUGGGUUUAAAGGGUCCGUAGGCGGGACAAUAAGUCAGUGGUGAAAGUCUGCAGCUCAACUGUAGAAUUGCCAUUGAUACUGUUGUUCUUGAGUGCUUGUGAAGUGGUUAGAAUGAGUAGUGUAGCGGUGAAAUGCAUAGAUAUUACUCAGAAUACCGAUUGCGAAGGCAGAUCACUAACAAUUCACUGACGCUGAUGGACGAAAGCGUAGGUAGCGAACAGGAUUAGAUACCCUGGUAGUCUACGCCGUAAACGGUGGUUACUAGCUGUUCGGACCAAUUGAGGUCUGAGUGGCUAAGCGAAAGUAAUAAGUAACCCACCUGGGGAGUACGUUCGCAAGAAUGAAACUCAAAGGAAUUGACGG
rnacentral:rRNA from 1 species